rnacentral:lncRNA from 1 species
ACGCUGUGUCAUCUUCUCUAUCACAAUUCACAAUCCCCUGCAGAUAUUUCCUAUUUCAGUUCCCGCGCCCCGUCCCCCACACGCAGUCACACAGAAUGGCAGCGGCAGUGAAUUGCUACCUCUCAGUGACUUCAACAGCCACACCCACAUCUCAAGAUUCUCCACAGCCAGCAAUCACGAGGCCGCCGACCAAGAUCAUACUGCCCAAGAAAAAGCCUAUGAAAUGGUCUACAGGGGUGGCUCCGGGUGAGUAUGGGGGCCCACCCACCACAACGAAGCUCAGGAAAUACUGGGGUGGAGAUGAGGACCCUCUUGCCUCUGAUGAAUACUUGUGGAACAAAGACUUCAUGGGUCGAAUGAAAAAGUUCAUUCAAGACCCCGUCGAUGUCGACACUAAUUCUGACCCUCGAUUCUCAUCUGCGAAGGUCCAGUAUUUGGCCAAUUGAUUAUUUUUGGUUUGUCAUUAUCUGGGUUUUUUUGAGUGAUUUAUAUUGUGGGUUUUAUUUUUGCUGUUGCUUUUGUAUGAGAAAUUAGUAAAAAUGGGGAAUUUUUAGCGCUCAUUGAGAUUAAUUGUUUUGGAAUUUGGAACUUGGAUAAUACUGCUUGUUGAACAUUGUAUAGGGAUGUCUAGUGUCAUUUUUUUCCCCUUCUUUUCAGAGAGAAUUUCUAGAAUGUUCUGCUUGUCUAAUUAAUUGACUGUUCUACGAAGUACUGCUGAUCUAAUUUUUUGGUUUCAUUCCGAAACUGUUUGUUCUGAUUUUACCACAGAUUGAAUUUUUAUUGCUUUUAGUUGAUAAAUAUAUUGUCCAGGUAUCAGCACUGAAUUUGGUAAAUUAUACUGUUUUGGUAUGUUUCUGAACAGGAAGAGCCUUGUGGAUUUCUUAGCUUGAACAGAGUGAUGAGCUUGGACAGGUACACAACCUUUUAUUUUUGGAAAUUGUUAUUUUAUUUUGUCUUGAAUUCCUAUACUGCUUUCCCGUGUAAUAGUCCCACUCUUUGAGGAUGCAGUUUGGAAAUUGACUUGAGCAAAGAGUUAACAGCGACUUCAAGAUCUGCGGUUGAACCACGAGUUGAAGAAAUUCAAGUGUGACAGAUUUUAAGUUCCCUUUGAAAAAAUGGUCUGUAAAACUAGUUUGCAUUUGUUAUUUUCCAUACUCAUCAGGAUUGAAAUGAUUUGUAGAGUAAUAGCAUUGCUUCUCGAAAAUGGAGACCAGCCCCAACACGACGUGAGCUAGAGAAGUGGGACAGAGCUACUAAAGCUGCAACUGGAGGCAGUGUGUGUAGUUUCAUUUUGGACAUGCAAUUUUCUUCUCAUCU